AGGCGGCCUCCGGGCUCUGGUCUCCGGCCGGAGGGCGGCACCCGAGCGGCGGACGCAGAGCCGAGGGCGCAGGCCUCCUCCCGCCCCGCAGAAGGCACAGGCCACGCACUUGUGGGAAAGCCUCUCGGCCUCCCUCCCGAGCCCUGCCACCUGCCACUGGAGCAGAGGUGCAUUUCGUCCCAAGCGUCCCCCUGCCUGCGGUCUACAAGUCUCUGCCAGAUUCAUAAGGAAAACCCCAUUUUCCUGUCCUCCAGGGAAAGACAAUGGCUGGCUGGGAGCACCUGGGACACGGGAGAUACAGAUAUGACUCUAGGAGGACAGUGACGUAGGCCAGCACCGCAGUGUCCAGACAGACACAGGCACAGGCACUCUGGCUUCCUCGCCCGACAUCUCACACCAGCUGAUCGAGAAGCAACCAAAACUGAGUAUUUUCUUUAACCCUGUGUGACUUUUAAUUUAAAAAAUGGGAGGGACUUCCCCGGUGGUCCAGUGGUUUAGACUCUGUGCUUCCACUGCAAGAGGCACGGGUUUGAUCCCUGGUCAGGGAACUAAGAUCCCGUACGCCAAGUGGCAUGGCCAAAAUAAUAAAGUAAAAAAAAAAAAAAAAA